rnacentral:sRNA from 1 species
UUAUGGCACCAGAAGUGGUCAAAAGAGAGCCUUACGGAAAGCCUGUAGACGUCUGGGGGUGCGGUGUGAUCCUUUUUAUCCUGCUCAGUGGUUGUUUGCCUUUUUACGGAACCAAGGAAAGAUUGUUUGAAGGCAUUAUUAAAGGAAAAUAUAAGAUGAAUCCAAGGCAGUGGAGCCAUAUCUCUGAAAGUGCCAAAGACCUAGUACGUCGCAUGUUGAUGCUGGAUCCAGCUGAAAGGAUCACUGUUUAUGAAGCACUGAAUCAUCCAUGGCUUAAGGAGCGAGAUCGUUACGCCUACAAGAUUCAUCUUCCAGAAACAGUAGAGCAGCUGAGGAAAUUCAAUGCAAGGAGGAAACUAAAGGUGUCUUUCUCCCUCUUACUACUCUCCCUAUCCUCCACCUCA